rnacentral:rRNA from 1 species
UACGUAGGGGGCAAGCGUUGUCCGGAUUUAUUGGGCGUAAAGAGCGUGUAGGCGGCUUUACAGGUCCGUUGUGAAAACUCGAGGCUCAACCUCGAGACGCCGGCGGAAACCAUCAGGCUAGAGUCCGGAAGAGGAGAGUGGAAUUCCUGGUGUAGCGGUGAAAUGCGCAGAUAUCAGGAAGAACACCCGUGGCUAAGGCGGCUCUCUAGUACGGUACUGACGCUGAGACGCGAAAGCGUGGGGAGCGAACAGG